rnacentral:misc_RNA from 1 species
ACCUACUAAGUGAUAACUUUCAAAUUCAGAGAAACCCUGGAAUUAAAAAUGGGCAAUCCUGAGCCAAAUCCUGUUUUCAGAAAAAGGGGGGAUUCAGAAAGAAAAAAAGGAUAGGUGCAGAGACUCGACGGAAGCUGUUCUAACGAAUGGAGUUAACUGCGUUGGUCGAGGAAUCUUUCUAUUGAAACUCCGGAAAGGAUGAACCAAUAUACAUACGUAGACGUACUGAAAUAGCAAAGAUUAAUGAGAUCCGAAUCCAUUUUUUUAUAUGAAAGAUUGAAAAAUUCUUGUGAAUCGAUUCCAAGUGGAAGAAUAAAAUAUUCACUGAUCAAAUCAGUCACUCUAUAGUCUGAUAGAUCUUUUGAAGAACUAACAAAUUGGACGAGAAUAAAGAUAGAGUCCCAUUCUACAUGUCAAUAUCAAUACCGACAACAAUGAAAUUUAUAGUAAGAGGAAAAUCCGUCGACUUUAGAAAUCGUGAGGGUUCAAGUCCCUCUAUCCCCAAUAAAAGGUUGGUUUUACUUCCUAACUAUACUAUUUUUUGCAGCGGUUCAAAAUUCGCUAUGUUUCUCAUUCACUCUACUCUUUUCUUUACACAAACACAAAAAACUUGGCAGAGAAAUGUUUCUCUCUUAUCACAAGUCUUGUGAUAUGUACGAUAUACAUACAAAUAAACAUCUAUGAGCAAGGAAUCCCUAUUUGAAACAUUCACAGUCCAUAUCGUUAGUUUGAAUUAAACUUAACUAAAAAAAAGUAUUCUUUUUGAAGAUCAAAAAAAUUCCAGGGCCUGGGUAAGAGUUUGUAAUGCUUUUUUAAUCUAUUUAAUUGAAUUGACAUAGGCCCAAGCCUUUUAGUAGUAUGGGAAUGAUGCAUCGGGAAGA